AGCACCUUUUAAGAAAAGUCCAGAGAGGCUUGGAAGGGUGAAACACCGCUUGCUGUAGCGCUGUUUUGUCAUACCCUUUCCGCCUAACGGAGAGGGUAUUUUUUAU
rfam:Bacillus koreensis strain DSM 16467 scaffold13, whole genome shotgun sequence.